GUUCAGUUAGCCCAGUUGGUAGUGCUUCGGACUCUGAUGAUCAGUCCGACUCGGGUUCCCGGUUCGAAUCCUCCGAAUCUGACA